AUACGGAGGAUGCAAGCGUUAUCCGGAUUUAUUGGGUUUAAAGGGUGCGUAGGCUGUGUAUCAAGUCAGUGGUGAAAGACCGGGGCCCAACCUCGGAAGUGCCAUUGAUACUGAUAUGCUGGAGUACCCCUGCCGUGGGAGGAAUGAGUGGUGUAGCGGUGAAAUGCAUAGAUAUCACUCAGAACACCGAUUGCGAAGGCAUCUCACGAAAGGGCAACUGACGCUGAGGCACGAAAGCGUGGGGAUCAAACAGGAUUAGAUACCCUGGUAGUCCACGCAGUAAACGAUGAUGACUAACUGUCGGCGAUAUACAGUCGGUGGCCAAGCGAAAGCGAUAAGUCAUCCACCUGGGGAGUACGACCGCAAGGUUGAAACUCAAAUGAAUUGGCGGGG
rnacentral:rRNA from 1 species